rnacentral:rRNA from 1 species
GUGUCAGCAGCCGCGGUAAUACAGAGGGUGCGAGCGUUGUCCGGAAUCACUGGGCGUAAAGGGCGCGUAGGCGGUUUUGUAAGUCGGGGGUGAAAUACUGCGGCUCAACCGCAGUGCUGCCUUCGAGACUGCAAGACUGGAGCACGGUAGAGGCGGAUGGAAUUCCCGGUGUAGCGGUGGAAUGCGUAGAGAUCGGGAAGAACACCAAUGGCGAAGGCAGUCCGCUGGGCCGUUGCUGACGCUGAGGCGCGACAGCGUGGGGAGCAAACAGGAUUAGAUACCCUGGUAGUCC